AUUGAACGCUGGCGGCAUGCUUUACACAUGCAAGUCGAACGGCAGCGCGGGCUUAGGCCUGGCGGCGAGUGGCGAACGGGUGAGUAAUACAUCGGAACGUGCCCAGUAGUGGGGGAUAGCUCGGCGAAAGCCGGAUUAAUACCGCAUACGACCUGAGGGUGAAAGCGGGGGAUCUUCGGACCUCGCGCUAUUGGAGCGGCCGAUGGCAGAUUAGCUAGUUGGUGGGGUAAAGGCCUACCAAGGCGACGAUCUGUAGCUGGUCUGAGAGGACGACCAGCCACACUGGGACUGAGACACGGCCCAGACUCCUACGGGAGGCAGCAGUGGGGAAUUUUGGACAAUGGGCGAAAGCCUGAUCCAGCAAUGCCGCGUGUGUGAUGAAGGCCUUCGGGUUGUAAAGCACUUUUGGCGGGAACGAAAAGGACUGUGCCAAUACCACGGUUCGAUGACGGUACCCGCAGAAUAAGCACCGGCUAACUACGUG
rnacentral:rRNA from 1 species